UAUGAUUCCUGUUCUCAAAGAAAAUAUUACCAUGGCGCAUGCGCGUCAGCAGAAAUUCCACGUCCAGACCGCGUGAUAGCUUAUUUGAAUCGCUCUGCUCAGUCGAGUCAGCGAUCUAGCAGCAGCAGCUCACUAGUUAACGGUCGCCGACUCGCCGUCCAGUUGAUGUGAAUUAGCCAUGGUCACCAAGCAAGUUAUUUUCACUACAGCAUUUCUUAGAAGGUAGGCAGUACACAGGUUUGCUAUACGUGAGUGCACUGGCUGCUGGAUGUGGCAUGUUUUAACUUUUAACUUCAGCAGUCUUCGAGGGAAGAAGUUUCUAAUUAUUUUGAAGACCAACCCAUACAUCUCUUCAAGGUUGUUGCUGGGCCUGCAUGACAACUCGUCGAGUAGCAGAGGCCAAGGCGAGGGGAGGACAUAGCUUCAUUCUGGAAGUUUGCCCGACUAACAAGCCCGGAGGGACAAGAUUCAGGGUAAUAUUAAUUACAUCAAAUUACUGUGAACAGUAUUUAAGUUGCCUGUAAAAUUAACAAGUAGGCCUGGGCCUACAGAGUAAGAAAACAACUCUUUUAUAUAAGGCA